rnacentral:misc_RNA from 1 species
AACAUACCUAAAACGUUGCUUCGGCGGGAACAGACGGCCCCGUAACACGGGCCGCCCCCGCCAGAGGACCCCCUAACUCUGUUUCUAUUAUGUUUCUUCUGAGUAAAACAAGCAAAUAAAUUAAAACUUUCAACAACGGAUCUCUUGGCUCUGGCAUCGAUGAAGAACGCAGCGAAAUGCGAUAAGUAAUGUGAAUUGCAGAAUUCAGUGAAUCAUCGAAUCUUUGAACGCACAUUGCGCCCGCCAGUAUUCUGGCGGGCAUGCCUGUUCGAGCGUCAUUACAACCCUCAGGCCCCCGGGCCUGGCGUUGGGGAUCGGCGAGGCGCCCCCUGCGGGCACACGCCGUCCCCCAAAUACAGUGGCGGUCCCGCCGCAGCUUCCAUUGCGUAGUAGCUAACACCUCGCAACUGGAGAGCGGCGCGGCCACGCCGUAAAACACCCAACUUCUGAA